rfam:Sus scrofa chromosome 7.
AUAAUGGCUCUAAUAAGAGCCAUUAGAAUAACAAGAAUAGUGGUU